rnacentral:sRNA from 1 species
UAACAGUGACUUCCAAAGGGUUCCAGGGU